UUAAAGAAAGUAUAUCUGUCACGAGGAGAUCAACAGUGACAAACACUACAUUGCCUUGGGGCCUGGGGGCAUAAAUUCAAAGUUGCAUGUGACAAGAAAUAAGACUUAAAGUUAAGGCGACGCAGACACUUAAGAACAAGACACAAUUACAUAACUAUAAGCGAAGACAUUUCUUAGUUUUCCUCUUAUCCGCAUAUUUCACGUGGCUACUUUAGAUUAGUUUCCGUCGUUGACUUUAAAUCAACGGCUGAUGGGACCAUUCAAAGUAAUGUGUACACUCAUUCGGCAUUAAUUUAUAAGAAAUGUCUCAUUUCUCCGAAGAGACAAGAAAGCUUAUUAUUAUUAUUAUUAUUAUUAUUAUUAUAUAAUUCAAACAUAAAUAUUCGAUUCACAUAUAAAUAAUAAUUAUGCAUGAGGCGAAAUGUUAAACGUACCUACCAUAAUGACGAUUAAGGCCAAAACAGAAAUUAUACUUAAUUAAUUAAUAUAAUCAACACAUCAUGUACAUUUGGAUAGGUCAAUAAUAGAGGAAGUUAAAAAUGAAUUUUAUAAGUUAAUUUUAUACAAUGAAUUAUGUACAAUAUCAUGAAUUUUUAAUUUUACCAGCGUUUUAAAUAAUCAUUUAUGCCGGAUUUUUUUUCGCGCAUUUUCUUUGCGAAAUUCGUAUCCUUAUAUUAUUUUUAUUUUGUUUCCUUGACCAGAUCACUACCUCUAAGCAAAUUGCCAAAGGUUGACGCCAUGGUCCAUCCUCAUGAUCAACACGACAUCAUUAUAUGCCCCAUUUUUUAAAUAGGUCAUGGUUGCAUAUUUCUUGUAGCUAGGAUUAUUAUAAUGAGUGAUGAUACAACCACAAGUUCUUAUACAAACUGAAGUGACAUUAAUUCAUUGGUUGAAUGAAAAUAUAAAAUAAUAAAAAUAAAUCAUGUGAACCAAGAGAUAUUUAAUUCAACUAAUUUUAUUAUGCCAUAUCAGUUUGUACAAGAUAAAU
rnacentral:lncRNA from 1 species